AUUUCCUCCGAAUUGCCGCUUUCCCGCAAAACGUACCCCUUCCCUGCCUUAUCCCCUCGUCCUCGAGGAAAAAAAGAAAAUAAGGAGACGAGGAGCUCGGCGUUAACCACCACUAGGGAGCUCGGCGGCGACCACAGGCAGCUCGGCGGCGAGUCCCAAGGAGCUCGGCGGCCACCCCCAGGUUCGAUUCGGCCCCGCUCCCUGCUCCUCUACCCAUCUCCUUCCCCGCUCCCUUCUCCUGUUCCCAUCACCAUCCUCACGCAUCUCGGCGGCCACCACGAGGACCUCGCCGGUGAGCACCAGCAGGACCACGGCGGCGUCGAUGCCGGUUCCCCGGUCCGCUUCUGCCCGUCCCGUCCUCCUCACCCUAUUCAGUCCCCGGUCUAGGUUGCAUCUUGUCGGCGUCCAGCGGACCACGGCGACCACCAGCAGGGCUGCGAUGGCAGGGGCACAGGUCUCCUCUGGCCACGGGCACUGCACCUCGGGCCUUCUCCCUAUCCGCUGCGUGCACCCCCUGUACCCAUCUCCUUUCCUACACCAGCGGACCAGCCCAUGAUUUGUGAACUGUCCGUCGAUCUGCAUGCCGAGUGAAGGUAUAUGGCUGAAAUCUCCUAUUUUUGCUAUGCAUCUGUGCAUGCGAUGUCUUGCUGCAAUGUUUUACAUCUAGAUAAUAAAACUGAAUUGUACAGCCCAAUGUCGGAUCAAUUGGAAUUGGUUGAGAGGAUAAUUGAAGAAAAUAAAAGAUGGAAGAGGAAAAGAAUAGUUCUGACUAAAUUGUUUGUUGAAACAUGUGCUCUUGCUUUAGAAUUUGUUUCUACACAAAGGAAUAGGGGACCAGGGGACCUAGGAACUUAUAAUGAUGAUGAGGACAAGAUUAGGAAUAGGAAAUAUUUGCUUAAAUGCAUGUAUGAUGGAUCUGCUGUGGCAUGCUAUGAUCAAUUGCGUUUAACUAAACGAAACUUUCAUGACCUUUGCACCAUGUUAAGGGAGAGAUGUGGCCUUUGUGAUAGUGUAUAUGUGACAGUGGAAGAGAAAGUUGCAAUGUUCUUGCUUGUAGUUGGUCAUAGUAUUAAGAUGAGGAUGUUGCGUGGCACCUACAAGCGUUCUUUAUGGACCAUUAGCACACACUUCUCUGCUGUCCUAAACGCCCUACUCUCUCUACAUGGGGAGUUCAUUAAGUUGCGUUCCUCUACCGCUCAAGCUCCUGAUGAUUACAAAUGGAAGUGGUUUGGUAAUGCACUUGGAGCACUAGAUGGUUGUCAUAUUGACGUGCUUGUUGAUGUGGCUGACCAAGGAAGGUAUAGGAACAGAAAGCAAGCCAUUACCACUUGGAGCACCAAGGAAGGUACUUGGAGCACUAGGUGUUGUUGAUUGGAACAUGAAGUUUCUUUAUGUGUUACCUGGCUGGGAGGGUUCAGUUUCAGAUUCGAGAGUUUUGCGUGAUGCAAUGAGGGCGAACCGCCAUGAUUCAUUUGUUGUGCGUAAGGGGAAAUAUUAUUUAGUUGAUGCUGGUUAUACCAAUGGAGAAGGAUUUCUAGCUCCAUUCAGGUCCACUCGGUAUCAUCUAAAAGAAUGGGCUGCAAGUGCACAACAGCCUCAAAUAGCUAAAGGGUUAUAUAAUUUGCGUCAUUCUCGUGCUAGGAAUGUAGUGGAGCGAAUAUUUGGCUUCUUCAAGAAAAAAUGGGCUAUCUUGCGUUCCCAAACCUUCUUUGACAUAAAGGAUCAGAUUCGAAUUAUUAGUGCUUGUUGAGUGUUGCACAACUUUGCAAGGGAUAGGCAACAUGUCAUGGAUGAUUUGUUAUUGCCUGAAGUGGAUAGUGAAUUAGCCAAUGCGCCAAAUGAUGAUCCAGAUGAUGACAACUUCAUUAGAAGUGUGCAAGUCACUACUGAAUGGUCCAACUUUAGGCAACAACUAGCUGAUGAUAUGUUUGCUGAGUACCUUGUGGCGCAAGGAGAACAAGAGAUCGAAUAGGAUGAGAGUAUGAUAUGUAGCUGCGGUGGUCUUCUUUUGUAUAGCUAGCUGCGGUGGUCUUGUUUUGUAUAGCUAGCUGCGGUGCUCUUCUUUUGUAUAUCUAGCUUCGGUGGUCUUCUUUUGCAUAGCUAGCUGCUGGCUAAUGUGAUGAUGCGUGUGGUAUUUUGUAUAUGCAUCAUCUUCAUGCAACUAAUGAAUGACAUUAUGUUUCAAUCAUGGUGUUUGUCAA